rnacentral:lncRNA from 1 species
UUCCCCCCGUUCCCUCGCCAGCCGGCCCGCGUUCCCCCGUUCCCUCGCCUGCCAGCCGCCGUGGCCGACAACGACGCGCGCGCUUCGCUCCUUCGCGCGCGGUGUUUAUCCCGCUUCCACAUCGGGAAGUUACGCGCGCGCGUUCCUCGUUUUCUCGUCUUCCCUCCUUGACGCUCGCUUCUCGCUCCACGACUCCCGCGGCCACGCACACACGAGGACAGACUCCACUGUGCCACCCCCUCCCACUCUUCCACCGAAAGUGCGCGAUUUUAUUCCGCACCUCUCUCCCGUACCGCGGUAGAGGUGGCUGCCUGCUUGCCGGCAAUCCCGAGAUCUUUGGAUUCAAUUUGUCCGUCGGCCGGAAGUUUACCCUUUUUUUUUUUCUCUUUUGCGGAAUGAAUACGGUUUGUUACACGUGCCGUCAUUCGGCCGGCAUUACGGCCAAUUGUCGGAUCGCACAUCCUUGCGUGGAAUUUGCAGGGCGCCAUCUCUUCGUUCCUCUCUCGAGCACACAAAAUUUGUUUGCGCAGCCCACGGAUAUAAGCAUAUUAAUUAUAUGCCUUGCUUUGAAAUGUGCACAUACAGCGGAUAUUUAACACCGGUCAAACGCACAUCUGUAAUCAGCACAAAUUCCACAUACUCCGCUCUCAAAGAGCUCUCGGACGUUAUGAGAAGGAAUACACAGAUUGCUGAGAAUAUGAAUCUCUGAAGCCAUCAACGUUUAUUUUACAAAGGAACGGGCGUUACGAAUGAACGAUCGUAAGCUGUCUAUUGCUCGGACAGAUUGAUGGAAUGGUUGUACGGUCCAUCAGUGGCAAGUGAUACAAUAAAACAUGACGAACACGAUUAACAUGACCUAAAGGUAUAUAGAUCACUGUCCAAUCAAAUGACCAUCACGCUAUCGUACGUACAAUUUAUGUGCAUAUUCACAAAUAAGUUAGAAGCUCACUUAUAUAGUUUUUCUUUUUUUGUAAAUUAUGGACUUCGAUAUUUAUUACAGUUAUAAAUAUAAAGAUUCUUGAUAUUUUUAUUGAUUUUAAAGAGAAUUCUGAGCAAUUUAUUUUUUCAUUGCAAAAAACAUAUUAAACCAGUCAGCAAGUAACAGAGACAAAUAAAUUUCAAUGCCGGUAUCAUAGUUAAAUUCCGUCGUAUGAUCGUUUCAAAGAAUCGAAAAUUCUAGUAAAACCAAAGUCCGUAGAAACGAACAUAAAAUGGUUUGGUCACGUGCGUGAGAACGCUUGUCGUUGAAAAUUCUUUUUUUCUUUUCACUCUUUUACUGUUUCAAUGGCCCAUUGUCCGGCGCUAUUCCGUUAGGUUACCUCAAACGUAUCCGCGGGUGUUAGGCGAGGAAAGACGUCGUCGUUUGUGAUCGUCUGGAUUUACUAACACGCGUUUAACAGCAUUUGCGAUUACACGCCAAUUAUUAAACGCUCAUUUACACAAAAUUGCGCGGCUCUUGUCAAAGUGUUACGCUCAUUACUAUAUUUCUAUUGUUCCCGUUGAUAAUAUCCUAUCAAGAGGACCGUUCCUUCAAAAGAACCUUACUUUAAUUAAGCUAAUUGCGUAGUAUCGUUAUUAUACGGUUUGCUCAAACUGUCCUGUAAGCUGCGCCAUUUACAUUAUUUUAAUGAUACUAUUUUAAUGGACUGAUUUGUAUGAUUAUAUUAUUUGAAAGACGGAUGAAAUUGCAAAAUGUCUCACAGUGCGUAGCUCGAUAUUUUUCA